rnacentral:rRNA from 1 species
GGGUUGUGAGGUUAAGCGACUAAGCGUACACGGUGGAUGCCCUGGCAGUCAGAGGCGAUGAAGGACGUGCUAAUCUGCGAAAAGCGACGGCGAGGUGAUAUGAACCUUUGACCCGUCGAUGUCCGAAUGGGGAAACCCAGUGUGAUUCGUCACACUAUCGUUAACUGAAUACAUAGGUUAACGAGGCGAACCGGGGGAACUGAAACAUCUAAGUACCCCGAGGAAAAGAAAUCAACCGAGAUUCCCCCAGUAGCGGCGAGCGAACGGGGAGCAGCCCGGAGUCUGAAUCAGCUUGUGUGUUAGUGGAAGCGUCUGGAAAGUCGCACGGUACAGGGUGACAGUCCCGUACACGAAAAUGCACAGGUUGUGAACUCGAAGAGUAGGGCGGGACACGUGGUAUCCUGUCUGAAUAUGGGGGGACCAUCCUCCAAGGCUAAAUACUCCUGACUGACCGAUAGUGAACCAGUACCGUGAGGGAAAGGCGAAAAGAACCCCGGCGAGGGGAGUGAAAAAGAACCUGAAACCGUGUACGUACAAGCAGUGGGAGCACCUUCGUGGUGUGACUGCGUACCUUUUGUAUAAUGGGUCAGCGACUUAUAUUCUGUAGCAAGGUUAACCGUAUAGGGGAGCCGCAGGGAAACCGAGUCUUAACUGGGCGUUAAGUUGCAGGGUAUAGACCCGAAACCCGGUGAUCUAGCCAUGGGCAGGUUGAAGGUUGGGUAACACUAACUGGAGGACCGAACCGACUAAUGUUGAAAAAUUAGCGGAUGACCUGUGGCUGGGGGUGAAAGGCCAAUCAAACCGGGAGAUAGCUGGUUCUCCCCGAAAGCUAUUUAGGUAGCGCCUCGUGAACUCAUCUUCGGGGGUAGAGCACUGUUUCGGCUAGGGGGCCAUCCCGGCUUACCAACCCGAUGCAAACUACGAAUACCGAAGAAUGUUAUCACGGGAGACACACGGCGGGUGCUAACGUCCGUCGUGAAGAGGGAAACAACCCAGACCGCCAGCUAAGGUCCCAAAGUCAUGGUUAAGUGGGAAACGAUGUGGGAAGGCACAGACAGCCAGGAUGUUGGCUUAGAAGCAGCCAUCAUUUAAAGAAAGCGUAAUAGCUCACUGGUCGAGUCGGCCUGCGCGGAAGAUGUAACGGGGCUAAACCAUGCACCGAAGCUGCGGCAGCGACACUAUGUGUUGUUGGGUAGGGGAGCGUUCUGUAAGCCGUUGAAGGUGUGCUGUGAGGCAUGCUGGAGGUAUCAGAAGUGCGAAUGCUGACAUAAGUAACGAUAAAGCGGGUGAAAAGCCCGCUCGCCGGAAGACCAAGGGUUCCUGUCCAACGUUAAUCGGGGCAGGGUGAGUCGACCCCUAAGGCGAGGCCGAAAGGCGUAGUCGAUGGGAAACAGGUUAAUAUUCCUGUACUUGGUGUUACUGCGAAGGGGGGACGGAGAAGGCUAUGUCAGCCGGGCGACGGUUGUCCCGGUUUAAGCGUGUAGGUGUGUGUUCCAGGCAAAUCCGGUUCACUUUAACACUGAGGCGUGAUGACGAGGCACUACGGUGCUGAAGUGAUAAAUGCCCUGCUUCCAGGAAAAGCCUCUAAGCAUCAGGUAACACGAAAUCGUACCCCAAACCGACACAGGUGGUCAGGUAGAGAAUACCAAGGCGCUUGAGAGAACUCGGGUGAAGGAACUAGGCAAAAUGGUGCCGUAACUUCGGGAGAAGGCACGCUGAUAUGUAGGUGAAGUCCCUGCGGACGGAGCUGAAAUCAGUCGAAGAUACCAGCUGGCUGCAACUGUUUAUUAAAAACACAGCACUGUGCAAACACGAAAGUGGACGUAUACGGUGUGACGCCUGCCCGGUGCCGGAAGGUUAAUUGAUGGGGUUAGCGGCAACGCGAAGCUCUUGAUCGAAGCCCCGGUAAACGGCGGCCGUAACUAUAACGGUCCUAAGGUAGCGAAAUUCCUUGUCGGGUAAGUUCCGACCUGCACGAAUGGCGUAAUGAUGGCCAGGCUGUCUCCACCCGAGACUCAGUGAAAUUGAACUCGCUGUGAAGAUGCAGUGUACCCGCGGCAAGACGGAAAGACCCCGUGAACCUUUACUAUAGCUUGACACUGAACACUGGUCCUUGAUGUGUAGGAUAGGUGGGAGGCUUUGAAGCGUGGACGCCAGUCUGCGUGGAGCCGUCCUUGAAAUACCACCCUUUAAUGGCUGGUGUUCUAACGUGGACCCGUGAUCCGGGUUGCGGACAGUGUCUGGUGGGUAGUUUGACUGGGGCGGUCUCCUCCCAAAGAGUAACGGAGGAGCACGAAGGUUAGCUAAUCCUGGUCGGACAUCAGGAGGUUAGUGCAAUGGCAUAAGCUAGCUUGACUGCGAGAGUGACGGCUCGAGCAGGUGCGAAAGCAGGUCAUAGUGAUCCGGUGGUUCUGAAUGGAAGGGCCAUCGCUCAACGGAUAAAAGGUACUCCGGGGAUAACAGGCUGAUACCGCCCAAGAGUUCAUAUCGACGGCGGUGUUUGGCACCUCGAUGUCGGCUCAUCACAUCCUGGGGCUGAAGUAGGUCCCAAGGGUAUGGCUGUUCGCCAUUUAAAGUGGUACGCGAGCUGGGUUUAGAACGUCGUGAGACAGUUCGGUCCCUAUCUGCCGUGGGCGCUGGAGAAUUGAGGGGGGCUGCUCCUAGUACGAGAGGACCGGAGUGGACGCAUCACUGGUGUUCGGGUUGUCAUGCCAAUGGCACUGCCCGGUAGCUAAAUGCGGAAGAGAUAAGUGCUGAAAGCAUCUAAGCACGAAACUUGCCCCGAGAUGAGUUCUCCCUGAGACUUUAAGUCUCCUGAAGGAACGUUGAAGACGACGACGUUGAUAGGCCGGGUGUGUAAGCGCAGCGAUGCGUUGAGCUAACCGGUACUAAUGAACCGUGAGGCUUAACCUUACAACGCCGAAGCUGUU